rnacentral:rRNA from 1 species
GUGGGGAAUAUUGGACAAUGGGGGGAACCCUGAUCCAGCCAUGCCGCGUGUGUGAAGAAGGCCUUUUGGUUGUAAAGCACUUUAAGCGAGGAGGAGGCUACCGAGAUUAAUACUCUUGGAUAGUGGACGUUACUCGCAGAAUAAGCACCGGCUAACUCUGUGCCAGCAGCCGCGGUAAUACAGAGGGUGCAAGCGUUAAUCGGAUUUACUGGGCGUAAAGCGCGCGUAGGUGGCCAAUUAAGUCAAAUGUGAAAUCCCCGAGCUUAACUUGGGAAUUGCAUUCGAUACUGGUGGGUUAGAGUAUGGGAGAGGAUGGUAGAAUUCCAGGUGUAGCGGUGAAAUGCGUAGAGAUCUGGAGGAAUACCGAUGGCGAAGGCAGCCAUCUGGCCUAAUACUGACACUGAGGUGCGAAAGCAUGGGGAGCAAACAGGAUUAGAUACCCCGGUAGUCC